UCCUAGAGCUAAUACAUGCAAUCAAGUCCCGACCAGUCUAACUGGGAAGGACGCUUUUAUUAAAUCAAGACCAAUCGCCCGGCUCGUCCGGGCGUUUCCUUGGUGACUCUAGGUAACACAUCAAAUCGCACGGUCCUCGCACCGGCGACUUAUCCUUCAAAUGCCUGACUUAUCAACUGUCGAUGGGAGACUCUAUGUCUACCAUGGUUGUAACGGGUAACGGGGAAUCAGGGUUCGAUUCCGGAGAGGGAGCCUGAGAAACGGCUACCACAUCCAAGGAAGGCAGCAAGCACGCAAAUUACCCACUCCCGGCACGGGGAGGUAGUGACAAAAAAUAACGAUACGGGACUCUUAUGAGGCCCCGUCAUCGGAAUGAGUACACUUUAAAUCCUUUAACAAGGAUCCAUUGAAGGGCAAGUCUGGUGCCAGCAGCCGCGGUAAUUCCAGCUUCAAUAGCGUAUAUUAAAGUUGUUGCGGUUAAAAAGCUCGUAGUUGGUUCUGCGUGCCACGCUGUCGGUUCGCCGCCUGCCGGUGUAACUGGCAUGCCGUGGCAUGUCCUGUCGGUGGCGUUCGGGAGCCUCGUCUAGGCGCCGGCCCUUGCCCAAAGCUUGGUGCUCGGAGGCCGGGGGUAUACCCGUUCGCCUACUCUAUCCUACCUAGGUGCUCUUCACCGAGUGUCGAGGUAGGCCGACACGUUUACUUUGAACAAAUUAGAGUGCUCAAAGCAGGCUGAAAUCUCUGCCUGAAUAGUGGUGCAUGGAAUAAUAAAACAGGACCUUGGUUCUAUUUUGUUGGUUCUUAAGAACACAAGGUAAUGAUCAAUACGGACAGGCGGGGGCAUUCGUAUUGCGACGUUAGAGGUGAAAUUCUUGGAUCGUCGCAAGACGCACAAGAGCGAAAGCAUGAUGACUCGGCGGGGAGCUUCUUCCCGGGAAACCAAAGCUUUUGGUUCCGGGGGAAGUAUGGUUGCAAAGCUGAAACUUAAAGGAAUUGACGGAAGGGCACCACCAGGAGUGGAGCCUGCGGCUUAAUUUGACUCAACACGGGAAACCUCACCAGGCCAGGACAUUGGAAGGAUUGACAGAUUGAUAGCUCUUUCUUGAUUCAGUGGGUAGUGGUGCAUGGCCGUUCUUAGUUGGUGGAUCGAUUUGUCUGGUUAAUUCCGAUAACGAACGAGACUCUAGCCUAUUAACUAGGCGUUUUCCGGUGUCCCCGCCACCGGCGACAAUCAUUCUUUUUAAGGGGACAGGCGGCUUUUAGCCGCACGAGAUUGAGCAAUAACAGGUGUGUGAUGCCCUUAGAUGUCCUGGGCCGCACGCGCGCUACACUGAAGGAAUCAGCGUGUGCCUCCCUGGCCGAAAGGCCCGGGUAAUCCGCUGAACCUCCUGCGUGCUAGGAAUUGGGGCUUGCAAUUGUUCCCCAUGAACGAGGAAUUCCCAGUAAGCGCGAGUCAUAAGCUCGCGUUGAUUACGUCCCUGCCCUUUGUACACACCGCCCGUCGCUACUACCGAUUGAAUGAUUUAGUGAGGUCUUCGGACUGGCGGUAAUCCCUACCGACUUGUCGGUAUCGAUGAACGCUGGAAAGAUGACCAAACUUGAUCAUUUAGAGGAAGUAAAAGUCGUAACAAGGUUUCCGUA
rnacentral:rRNA from 1 species